GUCCCAUUACAUUGAUGUCAUCCUCUCCAUUUGUUGUUCCUAGACCUCUCAACAGAAUGGUUGCCAGCGCUCUCAAGGGAGUGAUCCAAGAGAGUGAGGCAGAAGCCACUGUCUCUUUGAUGACCAUGUCACAGUCUACCAUUCCCACAACAGAUUAUAUGGUUGAGCGCUCAACAUCGGAGGGAACUUCUGGGGGUCCAGCCCCCAGAGGGUAGGGUGUACUGGUGAAGGCUAGCUGUCUCAAAAGCAGCGGAAGGAGGUGUCGUGUGGCUGGAAGACCAGGAUGAACAAGCUGGCUGCAGGGGUGAAAUCUGCUCCAGUCAGGCCAGUCCAGUUCCGGGAUGGAGAGCCUUUCCUCCAUCCUGCUCAUGCAGCUUCUGCCUACGAUGCCAGGGAGUGGAGGCCUCCUUUGGACACUGCUGGAUCCUGUUACACUGUCACAGAGCAAGACAAGAACUGUGGAGCCUGUGGCAGGAGACAAUGGCCUCCAUUGAGGAAUUAUGACGUAAAGGAACCAGCAAGUCCACAGCCACCAGUCAGGAAACAAUAGGUGUUUCCGGAGGGCCCAGGAGGUGCUCAGAAGAGGUGAAAAUGCACACCACCAGCCCCAGCAUUCCCUACCCUCUCCGAGGUCUCUGACACUGUGCCAAGAGAGGAAUUUCUCUGGGAUCUGUCUGAAAAGGUCAGUUGUUAGGAGCACCGUCUUUAAAACCUGGCUUCUGACCUUCAUAAAGUUUACCCUUGCUCAGUUCGGGGUGGGGGUUUCCUGAUCCGUCUUCCAAGUCUGAGAAAGGUCUCCAUCUAGAUGCUGGCAGUGGGGAAGGAAUUAUGGAAAGGUUUGAAUGUGGCUCGUGACAGCUUUGUCUAUUGCCACAGCUCCUGCUCGACAUCUCAGGUCCAGCAGAGUGACAUCAUAGCUCAAGAACUCUAUGCGAAUCCAGACAUUUGUCUGUCAGCUGGGAGGAUGAGGAUGGACUUUGUUCUUGGGCUUGAGUUGAGCUCCCGGCCCAGGGGCUGGCUUUAUUGUUGUCGUAUGUUAUGAGUGAAGAUAUCAUUCUGCAAUAAUGUCUAACAGCCAGAACAGAGAGGGGAGAAAGCCCAUUUCUUCAGGACCUUAGCUGGAAGACACUAGCCCAGCUCUUUGCCUCUGCAGAUACAUUUUGUAGAUUUGGGGAUUCCUGAUGGGAAUAUGAAGAAAGGGCUUUUGUGGGGAGGUCUCUGUUGAUCUGAAGCUUAAGGAUCAGAGAUCGCUCUGCAAGGCCACCUGGAGUAUCUGUGUUGACAGCUGUCCAGCUGAGCACAGGCAGCUAUUCUGACUGAGCUUAGCCACUUACGCAGGGUGUGACCUUUGCAAGGUAGUCUUUGUGUAAGUGCUGGCUGGCAUUUCUGUGGCUGUUUCCUCUUCCAGCAAUCAUUUUGAGGAACUGCCUGCCUUCUUUCCUCCUUUAUGGAAUCAGCGAGGACAUUGCAGGGUUGGGCCCCAGGGUGGGGGUUGCAGGAAAUCUACCAAACCCCAAAUUGCUCCCUGCCUUUAUUUACUUGAAUGUCUGAGGUCAGGAACAGCAACGUGUAAGAGGAAAAAUCCCAUAAGUAAAGUCAAAUUUCAAUUGCAGGGAGAACUUUGCCCUUGAAAGGAAAAUAGUUGACAAUAUUUGUAAAAGAAUAGCAAUCAUAUACUUGUGCAAAUUGCUACUCCCCAGUUCCACUAACCUGGUAAUUUCUAAUUGGAAUCUGAACUCCCAGAGCAUCUGUGCCAAGAGACAUCCCAUUUGCUCCCCUCUGGGAUUUGCCUGGUCCCCCAUCUAUUCAGCUUAGUGUCUUGGGUUGCUCCAUUCCGAAGCCUGCAUCAGUGGGUCCCUAAGAAGCUGUUCUAGCCUGUCCUUUGUGAUAGUAUCUAGAGGGCAGGGAGAGAGAGAGUCAGAAUGUCUCCCUCCCCAUAAUCUCUUCCUUUCUGGGUCCCUGUUUGUUGGGUCCGUUUCCUGCCUAAGGCCACCAUUUCUGGCUGGGACCUUCUCUGCGCUGCCACCAUCGUCUCUGAGUUCCAGAAGUUGCCACCUCACCUUUGGGAGUAGUCCCCUGAUGUUGCUGGCCCUGAGAUGAGCGAUACCCUGUACUGUCUCCUAACUGACCUGCAUCUUUGUAUACCGUCUCUGCUAAACUCUUCAAACUGCCCAGGGCCCAAGGAAAACUUGAAGCUGAAUUGGAAUUGCUGCUGUUUGAGCUUGAAAGCCCAGAACUGGCCUCUGGGGCAGGGGACAGAUUGGCUUUGUGCCUCCCUUCAGUGUAAGAACCAACUGAGUUUUAAAAGUCUUGUCAGUGGGACUCACUGAGGAUGGUUUCAUCCCCGAGGGGAACAUCGCAGACUGCUCAGAAUACAUUCAAACUUAUUCUGAGAGGAGGAAGGGAAGAGGAAGGUGAGGCAUAUGGGAAGGAGAUAAAUGAUCUGUUAUUUUAUUUACUGCUGUGAGCUUCAAAUAGCCAGAUUGGCAGGAUGCAUUGGUGCAGACCUCAGAGGCAGGAACAUCGCUGUGAGUUUGAGGCCAGCCUGAUCUACAUAGUGAGUCCAGGUUGGCCAAGGUUACACAGUGAGACCUUGUCUCAAACAACAACAACAAACAGCAAAACGCAGAUCAAAAGUGCAGGACAGCACCUUUCCUGCUUCCCAAGGGAGCCUGGGAGAAGGCUCCCGGGAAAUGACUUAGGUUCCAAAUUCCAGUGACAGUUACUAAGGCGACAUCCUGGGAUGAGUCAACAAAAGAAACACUGUAGAGCAUCCAGUGGAAUGCCAUGGGGUUGCUCAGAAUGGAAGGAUGUCAACUGCUCAGGGAGACAUGUCCAUGAUGAGGAGGGCUGGAACGUGUCUGCUAAUGUCACACAUUUGAAACUUAAGUUCCAAAGCAUCUGUGUUGGGAGUCAAGAGCUCUGCCCUCCUGGCUUAACUAGUUAUCCUGGGGGUGGGGCUUUCGUAUCGAGAGUGAGUUGUAAAACUGAGUUCAGCCCGGGCUUAUUCUCAGCCUUCCUUUUCCUUCCUGCCUUCUGCCACGGGUUGAUGUAGAAGUUUUAAGGAUUCUUGUUAGACGUCACAUGCUUGGGCUCCCUACCCUUCAGAAUCACGAGUUAAAUGUCUGUUGGGUAUAAAUUAUCCAGGCUUGAGUACUCUCUUGUAGGGACGUAGGACAAUGAAAGCUGGCUGCAGGGUAAACAUAAGGCCAAUUUUGUGGAAAGUGAAUGGUCUGUAUUUAUUUAGCAUGUAGAAACCCGUCGGCUGGGGUGAGCCACAUUAAGCCUAGGUGAGAGGUAUAGCGGAGAGGAGAUGAGGGGAGGGAAGCGGACAUGUGGGGAAAAAGAACCAGCAAUGAACGACACACGCCUCUAGCCCUUGUUCUUGUCAGGAGCCCAGAGUCUUUUGACAAGCCCUCUCUUCUCUGGGCUACAUGAAGGUCCCAGGAUGCUCAGCCCUACGGCUAUCACUCUCAUUUUCCAGAUGUGAAGACUAAGCAGAGAUGACAUGAGGUUGUCGGGGCCAAAUACUGAACAGUUGCACUUGACUCGUAUGAGGUGAGGGGCAGGUACUUGCUGGGGAUCCGUCAGGCUGCCGCCAGUGUGGACCAUGUCAGGAGACAAGUAACAACUCAGUACGCAUUACUACAAAGCCUGUCUUCAUGGAGGGGCUUGCUCCCACCUGAGUGGGUUGAGUCCAGGGACCCAAGAGUGUUGAGGCCCUCUUUCUGAAGGGCUUCAGGAUGAGUUGCUGGGAUCAUCCAAGGAACCAGAGUGGAUACACCAGAACAGUCCUUCUGAGGAAGGAGAGAAGUGGAGGCUGAAGGAUUUAUCUAUUGGAUCCAGAUCCUCAUCAGUGAGGUUUUCUCCAGUCUCCCUUGAGUUCUGGUCACAUGUGGGCUCUUUUGAGUGCGGGCUGAGGGGUCUUGUGAAACAAUGCCUGCAGUGUGGCCCCGGGAGCUGAAUUCCUUUGGUGACUGUCCACCAAAGCACAGGUGAGCUCCGUGGAGAACUCGGGGCUGGGCAGGGCUAUUGAUAGCUGUACCCAGGUACCUAAUAGAGAAGCAGUCUUCCUAACUGAGAACGGCACACUGGGCACCCGCUGUGCUCAUAAGGGCACACGACUUGCAUGAACUCCUGGCCCAGCACAGGAGCCAUUGCUAUGGAGACAGAUGCCCCUGGGGCCCUGUUUAACAUGGAUGCCAGGCAUUGUAAAACUGCAGAGACAAAACUGUGCCUAGCACACAGAAGGCACUCAAUAAAGUGUGUUGAAGGAACAUUCCUGGCAGUGGAGGGGGUUGGGGAGAUGGAGGGAAAUGCAGGUGUGAGUGCGUAAAUGACUUGACAGUCUAGGGAGGUCUGACUCUGGUGGUCCCAGUCUCUCCAGAGAGUUCAAAAGCAGAUGGAGGGGGCCCUCGUGGCCUCAUCCCAGCCAUGAAAGAGGUUGAGGCAGGAGAAUAGAAAGUUCAGGUUCUGUCUGGGCAACUUAGAGAGAGAUUCUACCUCAAAAUGAAAACUAAAAAGAGGGCUGGGGAUAUAGCUCAAUGGUAGGGUGCCUGUUCAGCGUUUGUAAGGCUCUGGGUGCAAGUUUCAAUCCUAGUGUUGGGGAAAUAAAGACCAGUGGGGCUGAGCUGCAAGUAUCCAGAAGAGGAAGGAAAGAGGACUUAAUGGAUGACUUUGGCCUUUUUCUGCAGAGAGUGGGAGCCACUGUGGUACCCGUAUUGAGUGUGGGAAGACUCUGAUUAGGGGAGAGUGUGAUGGAGCCUUUCAGCUACCCGACUGGACCAAGUGGAGACUUCAGAGAGACUGGCAGCUACCCCAUCACUGCAGGAAAGCCACAGCUUGCUAGUACACUGGAGUCCUGGAGGACCACUAUUGGAUCUUUAAGCUAGGCAUCUCCUUGUCUCCUCAGCGGCUCGGGCAGCCUCCUGGGAAACUCUGAUGACUUUAUCCCUGUGCCUGGUGGAGGAAGGGAUACAGUGGGCUCAUCAGGCAGGCCACACAGACCAGCCUUUGUGCCCUGUGGCCUACGGGAGGUGUAGGCUGUCUGCAUGCUCAGUGUCUGCUGGACUGCAACACAGGCACUCUUUGUGGUGCUCAGGAUCCAGGAGACAUGGGGGGGAGGCCUAGGGGCGGGUUCCUGUGGGCCAGCUUUUGGGUGGCAUGUUGGAGGUAAUAUGAUAGUCUCGUCAGAGAUGUGAGGGUAAGGCAUGGGAUCCCCCCGCCCCUCUGUGUAUGUGUGUGUGUGCAUGUAUGCAUGUCUUGGGAGAGGAUUCCUUUGGAUGAGCCUGGAAAUCCCAUGCAGCAAACAGACACCAGCUCCAGACCCACUAGCCUGGCCUGAACGAAGGUCUCCUGACUUGCACCUUUGCUAACUAAAGCUGACCAGCACCCAUGACCCUCAGAGUCUUCUGGGCUUUAAAUAUCUCUGGAGCCAAGGUUCCAAAUGCAAAACCACAAAUACUGUAUCGUCUCUGCCGGGACUCCUGGGGCCUAAAGGGAGCUGUACCUCACUCAGGCCCUGACCUCCCAAGGCCAGGAUUCACUCCCCCUUGACCGAUUUUCCUGCCUUCACCCCUAGCCAUGUUUCUGGUGGAAAUCCUCUCUCCUUGGUUCAGCCGGGUCUCGGUAGUAGGGACAAUCUGUCAGGCCCACUGUUUGUGGAGUCACACAGGGUACCAUGCUCAGAAGUGCCCCACAACCUACUGCUGUCAUUUUGAUUGUUUUUUUUUUUUCUUGAAGAGCCAGAGAUUGAACUUCAGGUCUCAUGUGCGCCAGGCAAGUGUUCUACCAGCGAGCCUUUUCCAGUCCUUUUCAAAACUGUGUUUUGAGACAGGGUCUUAAUAAGCUGCCCAGGCUGACUUUGAACCUGCCAUCCUUCUGCCUCAACCUCAUGAGUUACUAUACCUGACUUGAAAUUCUGACUGCACCCUUGUUUUUGGUUUGCAUUGGACUCCAUAAAUGCGUAGCUACUCCUGCUUCAGGGGUGAGGAUGAGGGCAGGAGAGGCAGGGCCACAACCCAUCAGAGCCUUAGUCACCUCUCUGUCCCUGGGGAUUUGAACUCAGGUCCUCGUGCUUGCAUGGCAGACGUCACAUUGACUGAACUAUUUCCCCAGCCACAACAAAUUAUUUUUUAAAUAAUUGUUUCAUGGGCCAGUGACAUGGCUCAAUGGGCAAAGGCACUUGCUGCCAAGCCUGAUGACUUGAGUUCAAUUCCCAGGACCCACAUGGUGGAAGGAGAGAAUCAACUCCCACAAGGUGUCCUCUGAGCUCCACACAUACAUUAUGGCACACAUUCAUGUACAUGUACAUACACAAGAUAAGUAAAUGUAAUAAAACAAUUGCUUCAUUAUAAUUAUACAUGUUUACUGUGAAAUUUUUAAGCAAUACAGAAAAAUACUAAGAAGAAGGUUAAAAGAAAUUUGCCAUGGCACUAUCACCUUGAUUAGCUUUUUGGUAAAUACUUUAUUUUAUAUUUAGGUGUGUGAGUGCUUUGCCUAUGUGUUUGCAUGUGCACUGCAUUCAUGCCUGGUGCCCAUGGAGUUAGUAAGAAGGUGAAAGAUCACCUAGAAUUGGACUGAGGGAUGGUUGUGAGCCACCAUGUGGGUGCUAGGAAUCGAUUGAACCCAGCAGCCAGGGCUCUUAACCAUGGAUUCAUUUCUGCAGUCCCGGUAAAUACUUUAAAAAAAUUAAUUAAAACUCUUUUGAGAUAAUAAUGUAAUUACAAAAUUUCUCUUUCCUCCUUCCAAAUCCUCCCAUAUGACAGACUCCACUCUCUUUCAAACUCAUGGCCUCUUUUUCUUUAAUUGUUGUUUCAUUCAUAUAUAUAUAUAUGUAUGUAUUUGGAAUAUAUUAAUAUAAUAAUGAAAUAUUAAAUAUUAAUGUAGCUGGGCGGUGGUGGUGCAUGCCUUUAAUCCCAGCACUCGGGAGGCAGAGGCAGGUGGAUCUCUGUGAGUUCGAGGCCAGCCUGGUCUACAGAGUGAGAUCCAGGAAAGGUGCAAAGCUACACAGAGAAACCCUGUCUCCAAAAAUAAAAACAAAAACAAAAACAAACAAACAAACAAAAUUAAUGUAAUAUAUAUUCCUAAAUAUACACAUAUAAUGUAUGCAUAUUCCUAAAUAUAACUCCUAAAUACACACACACACACACACACACAUACACACACCGUAUAUAUAUACACACACACACACAUACACACACCCAUAUAUAACAUGUAUAAUAAAUACAGAGAUGACCAUUUGGUAUUGGAUAACCGCUUGCUUUGUUGUUUCUGGGGGAGACUAUUUCUCCUGAUCUUAGCAUUCCUUAGUUGGUAAGUAGUUCCUUGUGUAGAUCUGAGGACUCCCAGACUUUCCCCUGCCAUCCUUGUUCAGCUCAUGUUUAAGUGGUCAUGUUGGUGAGGCAUCAUGGGUGUAGUUUCUGACAUUCCUAGGACAUAAAUCUCACAGCUAACUUCCUGUUCCUCAAGCUCUGAUGAUUUUUCCUCCCCCUCUUCUGGAAUGUUCUCUAGGCUUUGGUGCAGGAGUUGUGUUGUAGAUGUAUUGGGACUGGGCUCUGCAGCUCUGCAUUUUGAUUGGUUGAGGUUUUCUGUGAUGGUCUCUGUCUGUUGCAAAGAGAAGUUUCCUUGAUGAGGGGUGAGGACUACGUUAUCUGUGGGUCUAAGCACACAUGUUUAGAGCUUGGUAGGGACGAUGCUGGUUUAGUAGAGUGGCAGCUGUAGGUUCUCCUCCAAGAGCCAUGACUUCACUAGUCCUGGGUGGUUGGCUGGGUUUCUACGUCCAGGCAUGGUCUCCCUCUUACUGACCGGGUCUUAAGUCCAGUUAGAGAGCUGUUGGUUACCGCCAAGGUAUGUGCACCACUACUGCACCCUUAGGAUUGGUGUGGUUCCUGUCAGCUGGGUAGGACUUGUAUCAUUCCUUCAGAAGCUUGCAUGAUGCCUUCUGGUCCCAUGAAAGCUGGUCCUGGGGAGAUGCGGUGGCGGGGGGGAGCUCUCAGGUCCUAUCCAGCUUGGAGACAACACUUUUACAAAAAUUUUUAUUUUUUUAUUUUAUAUGUUUGGUUGUUUUACCUCUGUGUAUGUCUGUAUACCAUGUGCAUGCAGUGCCUGUGGAGGCCAGAAAAGGGUGUUGGAUGCCGUGGAAUUACAGACAGUUAUGAACUGCCAUGUAGGUGCUGUGGAUCAAACCUGGAUCCUCCAGAAGAGCAGUCAGUACUUUUAAUUCCUGAGCCAUCUCUCCAGCCCUGGUGAACACUUUUAUAGUGUUUUUUGUGUGUUUAUAUAUGUGUAUAUUCAUAUUUAUAUUUGUACUCACGUAUCUCCAUAUACUUGUAUAUUUUUAUGUGAAUAUACAUUAUUAUAUAAUACACAUGUAUUUAUAAUGUAUCUGCGUGUGUGUGUGUGUGUGUGUGUGUGUGUGUGUGUGUGUGUGUGUGUGUUUAGCUUGCUAUUUAGUUUUAGGCAGCUCAAAAAUCCAGGACAUAUAGAAAGCUUCCAAAUUUUUGACAACUAUGUGGAUUUCAUUGUAUUUCUACAUGGUGGCCCUUGACUGACUUUAAAUUCAGAAUCCUUAUGACUCAGCCUCUCAAGGGCUAGGAUUCCAGGUGUGUGCCACUGCACCUGGUGGAGCAAAUCUUUUUUUAAAAAACACGUUAUUGAGGUAUGAUUAACACAUAAAACUCUGUUGAUAUUUAAUGUAUACAACUUGAUGUGUCUAGAGAUAAGCAUAUAUCUGCAUAAUCAGCAGUCAGUGUCAAAAACUUAUUCAUGGUCUCCAAAUUUUCUUCCCGCCAACUUGUACUCCCCCCCUUUUGUUUAGUGAGAAAAGCACUUAGUAUUAGAUCUGCCCCCCAACAGACUUUCAUGUAUAUAGCACAGUAUUCUUAAUCGAAAGGUCCCGGAUGUAUCUCUGGGGUUUUCAUCCUGCAUGUCUGACGUUGUGCCCUUUGACCUUAUCACCUCAUUUUUCUCCUUCCCUAGUCUCUGGCCAGCACCAUUCUACUCUCUGUUUUGACAGAUUCCAUGUGUAAGGGAGACAGUACCUUAGCAUAGUACUAUAUUGCUGUAAAUGGCAGGCUCUCCUUUUAACACUUUAUUUGUUUUGUGUGUGUGUGUGAGUGUGUGUGCAGAGGUCAGAGGACAACUUCCAAGAUACGGUUCUCACCUUUCAUCUUGUUGAGCAGGGUCAUUCUUGUUUCUGCUGCUGUAAGUACUCAAGGCUAACUGGCCUGUGGGCUUCUGGCCAUUCAUCUUACUUACUUUUCUAUUGCUGUGACAAAACACCAUGACCAAGGCAACUUCUAAAAGUAAGUGUUUAAUUGGUUUACAGUUUCAGAGGGUUAAAGUCCAUGAUGGCAGAGCAAAGGUAUGGUGUGGCUGAGAGCUCAUGUCUCAUACACUGGGAGUCAUGGGGUCUUCUGAAACCUCAAAACCCACCCCCAGUGACACACCUCCUCCAACAAGGCCAUGCUUCCUAAUCCUUCCCAAACAGUUCCACCAACUGGGACCAAGUAUUCAGAUAUAUAAAGUUAUGGGGCCAUUCUCACUCAAACCCUCCUGUCUCUGCUUCCCAUCUUGUGUAGUACUGAUGGGACCACAGGUGCAUGGCCCAUAUCUACUUUUUAUGUGGUUUCUGAGGAUUGGUCACAGAUCAUCAGGCUUCAACCUUUACUCUCUGUGCCAUCUCUCCAGCCUUCUCCUUCUUUUAGAAACCAAAUGAUAUUCCCUGCAUGCACAUGGCACAGUGCCUUUUAUCCAUUUAUCUAUCUACAGAAAUCUAGGGGGUCUCCCUGGGUAGUCUCCCAGGCUACCGUGGCUAACAUGGCAUUGCGUGUAAUCACUCAGGCAUCCCAAAAUUAAUCUUAACUGUUUCCACUUGCUAUCACCCUCAUCAUCACCACCCUUAUCCACAGGAAUGUGCCCUGGUCCUCCCUUAUCCAUGGGUGAAAUAUCCCAAGAUCUCUAAUGGAUAUCUCAAAUCACAGAAAUUAUCAAACCCUACAUAUGCUAUUUUCUCAUACAUUCAUAAUUAUGAUAAAGUUUAGCUUAUAAUUUAGGCAUAGUAUAAGACUAAUAAUAGUAAUACCAACAGAACAGUUGUCACAAUAAAGUAUAAUAAAAGUUACAUGAAUGUCA